rnacentral:rRNA from 1 species
AGGGCACCACCAGGAGUGGAGCCUGCGGCUUAAUUUGACUCAACACGGGAAAACUCACCCGGCCCGGACACCGUAAGGAUUGACAGACUGAGAGCUCUUUCUUAAUUCGGUGGGUGGUGGUGCAUGGCCGUUCUUAGUUGGUGGAGCGAUUUGUCUGGUUAAUUCCGAUAACGAACGAGACUCUGGCCUAUUAAAUAGACGAUAUAUUAAAAAGUAUAUCGCACUUCUUAGAGGGACAAGCGGCGUCUAGCCGCAUGAAAUAGUGUUUUUUUCAGGUCUGUGAUGCCCUUAGAUGUCCGGGGCUGCACGCGCGCUACACUGAAAGAAUCAGUGGGCGUUAAACCUAGUUCGGAAGAACCGGGUAACCCAAGUAAAUUCUUUCGUGCUUGGGAUAGGGAAUUGCAAUUAUUUCCCUUAAACGAGGAAUUCCCAGUAAAUUCGGGUCAUAAGCUCGAGUUGAUUACGUCCCUGCCCUUUGUACACACCGCCCGUCGCUACUACCGAUUGGAUGACUUAGUG